CAACUCUUCACAAGAGACCAUGUGACACAGAAAUUAACAACUAUAGAUCACCGUACGACCUUCAACAAUGAGCAAAGCUCAUACCUCAUAGUUAGCUUUAAAAAGACCUGAAAUGACAAAUGUAGAACAAUUCAAACGAGAAAACUAAUGGCCUAAUUUAUGUAUAAAAAAAUGAACAAAAAAUAAAUAUGUAACACAGCAACAAACGACAACCACUGAAUUAUAAAGACUCUUGACUUUGGACAGGCACAUACAUACAGAAUGUGGCGAGGUUAAACAUAAUAAUGUUAGCGGGAUCCCAACCCUUCCCUUAACCUUGGACAGUGGUGUAACAGUACAAAAUAAGAACCAACUAUACAAAUCAGUUGAAAAAGGCUUAACUCAUCAGAUGGAUAUAAACAGAAAUACAUCUAACAAAAACAGAGAGUGGACGUGACCGAGUACUUGUACAUCCCAUCAACAAAAAGACACCAAGUACAGAUCUGAGAGUACUUGCAGUUACUGACAGCUAGUUCAAAGCCAAU
rnacentral:lncRNA from 1 species